GUGGCCUCUACAUGUAAGCUCCGUUUGAGGAUGAGCUCGCGUACCAUUAGCUGUUGGGUAGGGUAAUGGCCUACCAAGGCUACGAUGGUUAGCUGGUCUGAGAGGAUGAUCAGCCACACUGGAACUGACACACGGUCCAGACUCCUACGGGAGGCAGCAGUGAGGAAUUUUGCGCAAUGGGGGAAACCCUGACGCAGCAACGCCGCGUGAGUGAUGAAGGCUUUCGGGUCGUAAAGCUCUGUCAAGUGGGAAGAAAAUACAAAUUGAUAAUACCCUUUUGUACUGACGGUACCACUGAAGGAAGCACCGGCUAACUCCGUGCCAGCAGCCGCGGUAAUACGGGGGGUGCAAGCGUUAUUCGGAUUUACUGGGCGUAAAGGGCGCGUAGGCGGUCUCUUAAGUCAGAUGUGAAAGCCCGGGGCUUAACCCCGGAAGUGCAUCUGAAACUGGGGGACUUGAGUAUGGGAGAGGGAAGUGGAAUUCCUGGUGUAGCGGUGAAAUGCGUAGAUAUCAGGAGGAACACCUGUGGCGAAGGCGACUUCCUGGACCAAUACUGACGCUGAGGCGCGAAGGCGUGGGGAGCAAACAGGAUUAGAUACCCUGGUAGUCCACGCAGUAAACGGUGAUCACUAGGUGUAGCGGGUAUUGACCCCUGCUGUGCCGCAGCUAACGCAUUAAGUGAUCCGCCUGGGGAGUACGGUCGCAAGGUUAAAACUCAAAUGAAUUGA
rnacentral:rRNA from 1 species